rnacentral:lncRNA from 1 species
CAAGGCUUGUAUUUUGUCAGGGUUGGCCUCUAUCCCCCGGUGAGUGAUCAUAAAGCCCAAGAACUUGCUCGAGGCCACGCCAAAUGCACAUUUUGCGGGGUUCAACUUCAUUCCGUACUUUCGCAAGGUGUCGAAAACCUCUUCAAGAUCUGAAAUAUGCUGGUCCACCUGUUUGCUCUUGACCACCAUGUCAUCAACGUACGCCUCCACAUUCCUUCCAAUCAAGUUAGCAAAGACUUUGU